rnacentral:rRNA from 1 species
UGAAGCCUACGGGAGGCAGCAGUGGGGAAUAUUGGGCAAUGGGCGCAAGCCUGACCCAGCAACGCCGCGUGAAGGAAGAAGGCCCUCGGGUUGUAAACUUCUUUUGUCAGGGACGAAGAAAGUGACGGUACCUGACGAAUAAGCCACGGCUAACUACGUGCCAGCAGCCGCGGUAAUACGUAGGUGGCAAGCGUUAUCCGGAUUUACUGGGUGUAAAGGGCGUGUAGGCGGGAUUGCAAGUCCGAUG